rnacentral:rRNA from 1 species
GAGUUUCUUACUCCCCGUUCCCCUAACUAUGGCUCUUUCUAAAGAAGAAUAAUAUUCUGCACUAAACUAGACGUAUACAAACCAUUUUCUUGUUAGAAGAGGAAAUUAGUAUAGUAUUUACCUUUCACAAGUUAAUCUUGUACUUUUGCACUGAGUUAACCAGAAUCAAUCAGAAGCCCUGCCUCACCUUCUUCCCGCCUCUGAGAGCUUGCUCCUUUUCCUAGGGAAGCUUUCUUAACUGGCUCCUCGGCAUACUCCACUUUUAGAGUACAUGCCAAGACAUUUCCCUGUCAUUCCCACUGAAUAGACAGCUGAAAAGGUGAUAGUUGGGGUUUUUUGGGUUGACACGGAAUGCAUUUCAACGGUCUCAUGCUAAUUGGAGACCUAAACUUUAGUGACGAAUAUAUGGACCAUAACCGGUAUUAAAUGUUCUUGUAAGACAUCAUAAUCAUUCUCCUCCUUCCCAAUUCCUAAAUGGGCCACACUCUAUAGCGUAAUAAGCUCCUUGGGAUCUACGACAGCGUCAUUUCUUAGCAGUUGUUCCCGCAAGAUCACGCAACAUCUAAGAAUAGGUUCUGAACAUAGUAAACUACUACGGUACACUUAGCGAUCUUUGUACACUUCACAUACCGAUUGGGUUAUUGCUUUCAAAGCAUUCCCCUGACCUCGUCCGAUGGUACUCUGUUUUCUAGGAGAAAGAUUUCUCUAAGCUAAGCCUUGAGAAUAUACAGGUUCCAGUUAUACCUUUAAGAAAGUCUCCAAAAGGGAAUGAAACAGGCACAGUUGUUUGUUAAGCUUUAUGGAGCUGA